rnacentral:rRNA from 1 species
AACGAACGCUGGCGGCAUGCCUAACACAUGCAAGUCGAACGAGACCUUCGGGUCUGGUGGCGCACGGGUGCGUAACGCGUGGGAACCUGCCCUUAGGUUCGGAAUAACUCCCCGAAAGGGGUGCUAAUACCGGAUAAUGUCUUCGGACCAAAGAUUUAUCGCCUUUGGAUGGGCCCGCGUUGGAUUAGCUAGUUGGUAGGGUAAAAGCCUACCAAGGCGACGAUCCAUAGCUGGUCUGAGAGGAUGAUCAGCCACUCUGGGACUGAGACACGGCCCAGACUCCUACGGGAGGCAGCAGUGGGGAAUAUUGGACAAUGGGCGAAAGCCUGAUCCAGCAAUGCCGCGUGAGUGAUGAAGGCCUUAGGGUUGUAAAGCUCUUUUACCCGGGAUGAUAAUGACAGUACCGGGAGAAUAAGCUCCGGCUAACUCCGUG